UUAAAAAGAAAACCAAGAGCAGAGGAGGAGGGAUGAGAAGAGCCUGCAGGUGCAGGCAGGCAAAAUUCCCUGCAGCGUUCAUGUGCUCUGGGUGCCGGAGAUCCUCGGGUCCCCGGAGGCUGCCGGCGGGCAGGGGCGGCUCGGCGGGGGCUGCGACCACCCCGCCCGGCACCUGCGGGAUUAGCGCGGAGCGGGACUGCGGAGCGCCGCAACCGGCUGGCAGCAGACAGCGAUAAUGGGGAAUGAACAAGAGCAGUGGCAACCAUCCUAAUGAACAGGAUAGAAGGCUGGGUUCCAUUAAAACUCUUCAGCAAUGAAGUGAGUGAGUGUCCCACUGGGCACCAACGGCAUUCAUAUUAAGCCUCUCCAUAUUCCAAAUCUCAAUAAAAUAUUAAGAAACGUACAUUGAGACAAAUGCAGUUGUUUCUCGUUUUCAAAUUUAAGUAGUAAUUUCUAUCCUGGGUCUAAGGCUUCAUUCCCACAGUAUAUCAAAUUUCACCUUUGAUUUUUGUGAUUUUUGAAGGAUGCCCCUCAAAAUCCAAAAGCAGCACAAUUAAGAGGCAUGAAAGAGAACCUGACUGGCUUCUACCAUGUUAGCUUAGAGGACUCUUCAUGUUGCACAUUAAAUCCAAGUGUAAGAAAAAGACAAAGCAGGUAUGGGUCUGUGAUAACCCU